UACGUAGGGACCAAGCGUUGUCCGGAAUCAUUGGGCGUAAAGAGCGUGUAGGCGGCUUGUUAAGUCUUGCGUGAAAUCUCGGGGCUCAACCCCCGAGCGGUCGUGAGAAACUGGCAGGCUAGAGUGCGGGAGAGGAGAGUGGAAUUCCUGGUGUAGCGGUGAAAUGCGCAGAUAUCGGGAAGAACACCCGUGGCGAAGGCGGCACUCUGGGACGGUACUGACGCUGAGGAGCGAAAGCGUGGGUAGCAAACAGGA
rnacentral:rRNA from 1 species